rnacentral:piRNA from 1 species
UCCUGGAGCAGACCAAGAAGAAAGGA